rnacentral:rRNA from 4 species
GUGCGUAACGCGUAUACAAUCUGCCUUUCACAUAGGGAUAGCCCGAAGAAAUUUGGAUUAAUACCUAAUGGUAUAUAGGAGCGGCAUCGUUUUUAUAUUAAAGCUACGGUGGUGAAAGAUGAGUAUGCGUUCUAUUAGCUAGUUGGAGAGGUAACGGCUCCCCAAGGCGACGAUAGAUAGGGGUUCUGAGAGGGAUGUCCCCCACACUGGUACUGAGAUACGGACCAGACUCCUACGGGAGGCAGCAGUGAGGAAUAUUGGACAAUGGUCGGAAGACUGAUCCAGCCAUGCCGCGUGCAGGAUGAAGGUCCUAUGGAUUGUAAACUGCU